AGAGCCAGAUGUGUCACUUCCUAUCCUGCCCCUUGUUUAUCAGGUGAUAGUGGGCAGGGGCCCAGUUUCCCACCUAUGGACCAGAGACACAGCUGCUGCAGGAUGAAGAUUUCAACAAAGACGGUCACUGUGCUCAGUACAUAACUGGAUAAAGCUGACUGGGACACACCAUCCUUACAGAAAGGUGAACAAAGUUCCUGUGCACUUCUGACAGAAUUUUGAAGUGUUACACUGACAGUGGGAUUUUCCAGAAUCGCUGGAUUCUUGGAAGAAUACUACAAAAUAGAGCUAUGAAUGAGAUAGCAACUGUGCCAGCAUGGUACUUGUUGUGGUCAUCCACUGGACCUAUCCGAGAUACCUUGGCUAGAUUUUAUUGCCACCAAUGUUAUUGAGAUCAAAUGGAGAAGAAUGCCCACUAGAAAUCUUCUGCUGAAGAAAGCACCCAUCAUUAUAAACAAAAUAGGUUUAUUUCACAGUACUUAAUAGCUUAUUACAUUAUAUCUGAAACACAUUGGUCUUUGUUAAGUCUUCAGUCUGUACAUAUGAGUAACUGUACAUUAUUGUUACUGAAACAUUCUGGUGCAAUAUUAAGAGUUAUCUGAAUAAAACUGAUAGCUCCUCCUAGGGACAACCCUUUAUAUCUUGAUAGGUGAAACCUAACCAGUGAUGUGAGGGAAACCCUCCCCUCCCCUAUUAUCUUAUACACCAGUUAACUAAAAUGCCAUUAUUUGGGGGGAACCAUAACCAAAAUUGAUCCAAAUGCCUACAAUUUUCAAUAUUUCUAAUGUUUUUGUUACACUGCCUGAGAGACACCCACUCAAUCUGGUAACAUGUAAUGUUUGGACUGACAUCCAGAAGUGCUCCUUCACCCAAAAACACAAUCAACAAAGGAUAAAAUUUAAAAUGUUGUAAUGGAGACAAAAACUCUGAACUUUAAGGAAAACCUGUAUACUACAGCGAGUGGAUUUCAGGAUAUCUCUGGAUAAAUAAAUUAAGAUGAGCUUUCUGUCAUUCCUCAUCUGUACUUACCAUGUGAUCUUUAGUUAGUUGUUUAUGGCUCAGUGGAACUGUUAGCAAUGAUCUUAUCUCAUCAUUAUUCUUCAGAAGCCAACCACACCUUUUGAAGUGUGCAUAUGUUGUAAAACAUGGAAAUCUAGAGCCUAGCCUCAGUGAUUCUAUAUCCAACUGCAAACUGUCAUUAAUCAGAAAUUAUUGAAUGAUCAAGAACUUCUACUUUUAAGCUAUAAGUCUAGCUUUAAAAAUUCUUAAAAUGUUACACCCAUUUAAAAAGUAAUAGUUGGGUUUUUAAACAGCAUAUGAAGUUCAUAAUUACUGAUGAAAAGCUUUCAUUGCUCUGACACACCAAUUUUAUAUUUAGGGCACAACAGUUUUCUUCAUUGUAAUUAAACCAGAUUUGUAAACUUUUUAAGUCAUUUAUCUUUAUUUCAGUUUAUAUUUUAAUCCCACCAAUGUAUCUCAGUCAUUUAUUUCCUUUAUGAGAACAAGAUUGAAAUGGAAGAAUAGCUGGUGUUUUUCACUUCCUAGUUUGCUCUCUGUGAGAACACAAAUGUAAUUGGCUGCUUCCCCCAUUUCAUUACCGACAUCGCAAAAAUCAUUGUGUUUUUGUGGGCACAUUUCUUGGCGGUUAUUGUCGAGCACUUGUUGUUUUGCUGCUGACCACAGAAUUAAAAUUUAUGUUGAAUUCAUUG